CAGCAGCCGCGGGAAAACGAAGGGGGCUAGCGUUGUUCGGAAUCACUGGGCGUAACGGGUGCGCAGGCUGGUUCUUAAGUCAGGGGUGAAAUCCCGAGGCUCAACCUCGGAACGGCCUUUGAUACUGGGGAUCUUGAGUCCGGAAGAGGUGAGUGGAACUGCGAGUGUAGAGGUGAAAUUCGUAGAUAUUCGCAAGAACACCGGUGGCGAAGGCGGCUCACUGGUCCGGAACUGACGCUGAGGCACGACAGCGUGGGGAGCAAACAGGAUUAGAUACCCCAGUAGUCCCUGUCUCUUAUAC
rnacentral:rRNA from 1 species